ensembl:lncRNA
AAGGAAAAAAGAUUUCAAGGGAAUUUAAAGUAAGAGGAAGUUUGCAUUUCAACUUAAACUGAAGACUCAGUGAAAAGUACACGUGCACCUUGGGUCUGCAGAAUCUCGCCCACCCUGAGGUGAUCAGUUCAUGGCAUGGUGGGAAGGACCACGUCCCUCUGCGACGGAGAAGGAACCACACCACCCCAACCCCAUUUUGGUGGCAGAAUGUCCCCCACCAGAGAUUUGUGAGCAUGUGUUUCACACAUACAAAAGGAACAAGUGUGCUCAAACAGGGCCUGGCUUGAGGCUCAGUAUCAUGCAUACUUCAUGGGCUAUGGUGCUCCACAGCCUUUAUUAGAAGAAAUGUGAUGGAUGAAGCAAGGAGAUCAUGAGAGAAAUGAGAGAUGCCUUUCUAGGCCAAAUCUUCUUCAGGAG